CUGGAUUGCUAUUGGUCGUGAUUGUAGCUGUUCGCUUGGAGUCGCUGUGCACUGUAUACAUAGGUGCACAGUUUGUGUCUGUGUGAGUGUGUGUGUGCGCGAAUGAGCCAGAGAGAGACGGAGAGAGCUGUAUUCAACGGAGAGGCAGUCUCUAGUUCUUUAUCCCCCGCCAAGUAGUGUUGCUGUCUUUUGCCUGUGCAGUCUCCGGGAUUAGAGUGCAGCCUUCAAAGCUUGGUGUUUCUCAGGAUCACUGAGGAGACAACGUGGGACGUUGGAGUGAUCCCAGUGUGCGUGUGUGUGAGCUACCAAGCCAGUUUCGCGGAGUGCGAAAAGAAGGAAGGAAGAAGGAACUGACACUUGGAGUCAUCGCCCCCACUGUUUUGAGCGCUCCCUGUUUCCAUUUAUUUGCCCCCACCCACUCCUCCCUCCCUCACCUGCAUCUUGAGGAACUUUCAAUGUAUCUCAAUGGCAGGAGCACAGCCCGGGGUCCACGCUCUACAGCUCAAACCCAUCUGCGUGCCUGAGCACUUAAAGAAAGGGAACAAAUUUAUGAAAUGGGAUGAUGACUCCACAAAUGUAACUCCCAUUACCUUGAAAGUGGAUCCACUGGGAUUGUUCCUCUACUGGACAGAUCAAAAUAAGGAGACAGACCUGCUGGAAAUCAGUCUCGUCAAGGAUGCCAGGACUGGGAAGUAUGCAAGAAAUCCCAAGGACACCAAGCUCCGCGAGCUGUUGGAUGUUGGAAAUCAGGGAAGUCGUCUGGAGAGCCGGAUGGUGACGGUGGUUUAUGGCCCUGACUUGGUCAACAUUUCAUAUCUCAAUUUCAUGGCCUUCCAGGAAGAUGUGGCAAAGGAAUGGACUGAUGCACUUUUCAACUUGGCAACCAACCUGCUGGCACAGAACAGGUCAAGGGACACCUUAUUACACAAAGCGUACACCAAGCUGAAGCUUCAAACAAGCCAGGAAGCCCGGAUUCCUAUCAAAAACAUUUUUCGCUUGUUUUCUGCCGACCGAAAGAGAGUAGAAACUGCAUUGGAUGCUUGUGGACUUCCUUCAGGCAGGAAUGACUCCAUUCCGCAAGAAAAUUUCACAACCGAAGUAUUCCAAGCAUUUUUGAAUAACAUUUGUCCUCGACCUGAAAUUGACGGCGUCUUUUCAGAAUUUGGUGCAAAGAGCAAGCCAUACCUAACAGUGGACCAGAUGACAGACUUCAUCAAUUCCAAGCAGAGAGAUCCACGUUUGAAUGAGAUACUCUAUCCUCCGAUGAAACAAGAACAAGUGCAACAGCUCAUUGAGAAGUAUGAGCCCAAUGACAGUCUCGCAAAGAAAGGUCAGAUUUCAAUUGAUGGCUUCAAGAGGUAUUUGAGUGGCGAUGAGAAUGGAGUGAUUCCACUUGAGAAAUUAGAUCUGAGUGAAGAUAUGACUCAACCUUUGUCCCACUAUUUCAUCAAUUCCUCACACAAUACCUACCUCACAGCUGGACAGCUGGCUGGGAACUCUUCCGUUGAAAUGUACCGCCAGGUCCUCUUGGCAGGAUGCCGGUGUGUCGAGCUGGACUGCUGGAAGGGACGUUCGACUGAAGAAGAGCCCGUCAUCACUCACGGAUUUACAAUGACAACUGAAAUAUUAUUCAAGGAAGUAAUUGAAGCUAUCGCUGAGUGUGCUUUCAAGACAUCUCCGUAUCCAGUGAUUCUUUCUUUUGAAAACCAUGUUGACUCUCCCAAACAACAGGGGAAAAUGGCGGAGUACUGCAGGUCGAUAUUUGGUGAUGCGUUGCUAAUAGAAGACCUGGAAAAAUAUCCGCUUGAGUCAGGCGUUCCCCUUCCAAGCCCAAAUGAGAUGAUGGGCAAGAUUCUUAUUAAAAACAAGAAGAAAGCACACAAAUCUUCCGAUGGUAGUGCCAAAAAGAAGCUGUCAGAGCAAGCAUCAAAUACGUACAGUGACUCAUCCAGUGUUUUUGAGCCCUCUUCUCCAGGAGCAGCCUCAUCCAACCACGAGGAACCGGAUGUAGCCCAGCAGUCCAGCGCAGAUGGAGUGGAAAAACCUGUGGAAAAGUCAGGGAAGGAGGUGACGGAGCAGAAGGCAAUCGGCAGAAAAUCAAUAGGAGAAGGAGAUGCAGAGAGUGAAGAUGAAGAUGAUGAUGAUGAAGAUUCCAAAAAAUCUUCAAUGGAUGAGGGAACUGCUGGCUGUGAAGCAAAUGCCACAGAGGAAAUGUCCAAUCUGGUUACCUACAUUCAACCCGUAAAGUUUGAAUCCUUUGAAGUGGCUAAGAAGAAUAAUAAGAGUUUUGAAAUGUCAUCUUUUGUGGAGACAAAGGCCCUGGAACAGUUGACGAAAUCUCCAGUGGAGUUUGUGGAGUACAACAAGCGGCAGCUUAGUCGCAUUUACCCCAAGGGAACCCGGGUGGAUUCCUCCAACUACAUGCCUCAGGUGUUCUGGAAUGCUGGCUGUCACUUGGUGGCACUGAACUUCCAGACUGUCGACCUGGCGAUGCAGCUGAACAUGGGGAUGUUUGAACACAAUGGGAAGAGUGGCUUCCGCUUGAAGCCGGAGUUCAUGAGACGAACGGACAAGCACUUCGACCCCUUCACUGAGACAACAGUUGACGGGAUCGUGGCCAACACCCUGUCCGUGAAGGUUAUCUCUGGUCAGUUUCUUUCUGACAAGAAAGUUGGGACUUAUGUGGAGAUUGAUAUGUUUGGUUUGCCUGUGGACACAAGACGAAAAGCUUUCAAAACAAAAACUUCACAAAAUGCAGUGAAUCCAGUCUGGGAAGAUGACCCUAUUGUGUUUAAAAAGGUUGUGCUGCCAUCAUUAUCUUCCUUGAGAAUGGCUGUCUAUGAAGAAGGAGGUAAAUUUAUAGGGCACAGAAUACUGCCUGUACAAGCUAUUCGUCCAGGCUACCGCUACAUCUGCCUGAGGAAUGAACGGAAUGUGCCACUGAUGCUCCCUGCAAUCUUCGUCUAUAUUGAGGUUAAGGAUUAUGUCCCUGAUACCUUUGCAGAUGUGAUUGAAGCCCUGUCUAAUCCAAUUCGGUAUGUGAAUCUGAUGGAGCAGAGAGCUCAGCAGCUUGUGGCUCUGACUUUAGAGGACGAGGAAGAAGAAAAGAAAGAUGCUGAACCUGGUGAAGUUCCUACAGAACCUAAUGCUGACCCGAAGCCUGCUCCAGCAGAAAACGGUGUGAGUCCCACGCCUGGUCUAACCUCCAAACCCUCCACACAAGCUACCCAGAUUCAACCAGCCCCAGCCACAGUCAAAGCAACUGGUAAAGCAGAAGAUCUUGUUCAAAGUGUCUUGUCCGAAGUGGAAGCCCAGACCGUGGAAGAGUUGCGACAACAGAAGGCAUUUGUGAAACUUCAAAAGAAACAUUACAAAGAAAUGAAGGAGUUGGUGAAGAAACACCACAAGAAAACCACAGACUUGAUUAAAGAACACACUGCAAGAUCCAGUGAAUUUCAGAAUGACUAUUUAAGGCGCAGGGUAGUUCUGGAGAAGUCAGCAAAGAGAGAUAGCAAGAAGAGGCCUGAAUCAGCAAGUCCAGAUCAUGCAAGCUCAACAAUUGAGAAGGAACUUUCUGCCCUUGAUGCAGAAAUGACACAAAAGUUAGCUGAGCUCAAGGAACAACAACAGCAGCAGCUGCUGAACCUGCGACAGGAGCAGUAUUACAGUGAAAAAUAUCAGAAGCGUGAACACGUUAAACAGCUGGUACAAAAGCUCACAGAGGUCGCUGAGGAAUGCCAAACCAACCAGUUAAAGAAGUUAAAAGAACUCUGUGAAAAGGAAAAGAAAGAAUUGAAGAAGAAAAUGGACAAGAAGCGUCAGGAGAAGAUCAGCGAGGUGAAAUCAAAAGACAAAAAUCAAAUGGAGGAGGAAAAGACGGAAAUUAUUAGAGCCUACAUCCAUGAAGUAGUGCAGUCUAUCAAAAGGCUGGAAGAUGGUCAAUCCAAGAGGCAAGAGAAGCUGGUCGAUAAGCACAAGGAAGUACGUCUGCAAAUUCUGGACGAGAAACCAAAGCUACAAAGUGACCUUGACCAAGAAUACCAAGAUAAGUUUAAGAGGCUGCCUCUCGAAAUACAGGAAUUUGUACAGGAUACAUUAAAAGGAAAAUUCAGCGAAGAUGGAGACCACAGUGCUCCAGCUUCCUCCCAACCUCCAGAUAAUGGUAAACUUAACCACAAAUCUCCAAAUGAAGAUGACGUGGAAGACAAUGCUGCUCUGAAGAAAAAAGACAGACUGCGUUUCUUUAACUUGACGGUUUCUUGCUGCACAUUUUAAAUAAAACUUAAACAGAUAGGCCUUUGGGGAUCCUCCUCUCCUUUGAUAUAACGUCAAGGGAUCAGGUCAUCCAACAGAUAAUAAUGGUGAAAGGCAGGAACACAAUGGAGAAUCAAGAUAGAUUUUGCACCUUGAUCAAAUCAAUGUGGGCACCAACUCCAUGAGAAAUUGCUGACCUUCUGCCCUCUGACAUUCAGAUCAGUUCUGCGCUCUACAACACAGAAAUCAGAGAGGGCUGGAAGUCAGGUACCCGUACAUCCGAGCUACUGCUUUGCCUCAGGACUUGUAUUGAGAAAUAUAUCUGACAUAACCACUAUAUAUACCUGAAAUAUAAUCACCAUGUAUUAGCUAUUUACUAUACUAUGUAAUUACUUCCAGGUACUGAAUAUUAGUAUGUAUUAUUUUACUAGACACAUUUUGUUAUGUGUUGUUUUCACUAGAUACUUUGUACUCUCUUAGCUGCAUAUUAUGGCACUUACAGGCCACCUGUUUGUUUAGCAGCACUAUUAGCUGAGAUGUAUCCCAUGUAUUACACUCAGCCUUUGUUUAGUAUGAGAUAACGGUGGCGGACAGGAUGCUGCGAGCAGAAUGUAAUGUGAGGGAGGUUGUCUGGAAAACAUAAUCUUGGCCACGAAUAAGGUCCCAAUGCGAACGGGUGAAAAAUAAUGGUGACGCACCGAGAGCUGGGCAAGAGCGAUUGAUUAGUUAAUAUAUAGAUGAUAUGCAAUUAUCAAUUGAUUGGGUAUGCUGAUGAAACCGAAAUGUAACUGAGAUAAGAAAUUACUAUAAAGAAUGCUGUACACUGGAGCUCGGUGGGCUUUCGGUGACGUUCAUUGAUUGCCUCAGCCUUUGUUUGCAAAUAAAGGUUUAAACUUCUCGAAGAAUUGUCUGCGUCUCCUGGUCAUUUCAAGUAACCACCACAAAAUUGGCGACUGCAGCAGGACCGGGAAGAGACCCGAGGAAAAGAUUCGGUGGGUUGAGGCCACUUCCCGGUCCCUCGGGAGCCCUCACUGAGCUAACAGAAUUAUGGGUGCACCCAGAAAAAAGAUAAGCGCUUUUUGCGACAAUUUGGAUUGAAAUUCUGUUGGUUUUGGGGGUCUCGGGGACUCAGAAGUGUGUAGCAACUGCCGAAGGAUCUCUCCGAUCCAACAAAUCUGGCAGAAUUGAGGGUUUGACAGGAGGCUCAGAGGAUUGAUCGAGAACACUGCAGUGGGGGUAAGUAUGAAUAAGGUAACAAGAAGUUGAGUAAAGAAAAAUCCAUGUGGUGUUGGUAAAUCCCUGUGGGUACCACUUCACACAAAGCGAAGGGCUGAACGGGCAGGGUAAGGAAUAAUAGAGUAAAUCCCUGUGGAUACCGCUUCGGACAAAGCGAAGGGCUGAAUGGGUAGGGUAAGGAAUAAUAGAGUAAAUCUCUGUGGAUACCACUUCGGACAAAGCGAAGGGCUGAACGGGCAGGGAGAGUGAAGAGAAACUUCUGUGAGUACUGCCCUAGGUUGAGGGCUGCUCAGACAGAACGGAACAGAAGGUAAGAAGAAUUUGAUAAAUUGCUUAAACACUGGUAGAAUAAACUGUAGGGCUAGGCGUGGAGAUAGGAUCGGGGAGGUAUUUGAACUGUGAGAUUUUUUUUUAAAGAAAUAAUACCUAAGAGAAGAAGAGAAUAACAUGGCGGAAGAAAAAGGAACAGCAGUAGACAUACGGUGCAAGAAAUUCCCAGUAAGUAGAGGUGAGAUUAUUGCAAUUUCAGAGAAAUGGGAAAAGAGAGCCAAAAACCGGUGCACAAAAUGGCCAAAAGAAGUGACAUUCGAUGUAAGCUUGUGUGAAGAGAUGGAAGCACUAAUUAAAAAUCAUAAACCAAACAAUAAGUCCAAGAAAAGGGAGGAAAGGAGAGAGCAGGAGAUAGAAGUAUUGAAACUUUAUAGGAUGAAGGGAGAAAGAUUGAGAAAGACAGGCAGGAUAUUGAUAAUAAACGAAAAAGACAAAAGGGAACCGGAAAAACAGGAGGAAAAACCUAACAGAAGCCCGGCUUCAGCUCUAUACCCGCAUCUGAAAGAACUAGAAAGACACCCUCCCUAUUAUGAGCAGGGAACACCCAAGCAAUGCCCCAUAAUAUCAGGAACAAUGAGCCUGCAGGGGGAAGUAGAGGUCUGGGACCAUGAGGAGGAAAGAAGGAAAUAUGAGAAGGUGAGAGAGGUGCUGAGGAAUGAGAUAGAGGGAGAAAAGAUAAGAUAGAACAGGAAAGAAGGGAGAUGGAAAGAAAAGUGGAAAGGCUACAGAAGCAGAGAGAGAAGUGGGAUUAUGAGGAGUAUCGGUUAUACUGUAGAGACAGACAGACUAGAAGAGAACAGGAAUCAUCUAGACGGCAAGAACGGAGUGAGUUGAGAGGAAGUUAGAGGAAGGUAGGAGACGAGAGUUUGGGGGAAGUACGAGAGAGGACGGAGAGGCAGAUAUUGGCGAUGGAAGAGGGGACUAGAGUGGAGAAGGAGCAAGGAAGAAGGUAUACCCCAGGAAGGUAUGAGUGGCAGCCAGUAGUACUAGGGCCAGCAAUAGAUAAAGAACCAAGUGAGGAAGGAAGCUUGAUUACAUGGAACGGGGAGAAGGAAAUGCUGCCAUUGCUGGUAAAGGAUCAGGACAAGUACAGUAUAUCCCUUGGGGAUUCCAGGACCUGGAAGGGCUGAAAAAUACUCUGCCUAGUCUGCACAAGGGGGCAGGAAAGUGGAUUAGAGCCUUUUGAGGAGGAAACAACGGGACGAUUGUUGGCUAUGGGAGAUUUGAAGGCACUGCUGAUAAGGUUGAUGGGAACUUCCAAGCUGAAAGAACUGAUGGAAAUGGCUGGCUUACAGAAUGUGGACAGCCCACAGACUGAUGGGGCCAAUUUUGAUCCAGUGAGACAGAGGGUAUGGCAGAGCCUCAGGAAGCUUUAUCCACCCAGAGUAGACCCCAAAGCCUUAAAGGGGGAACUACUGGGAGACACUGAAAACCCAGCAGCCUAUGUAGAAAACCAGUUGAAAAGAUGGAGACUGGAGACUGAGCAAGAGGUGGAAAAUAGCUUGUUUCUGAACUCACUGUUCUGUCAGAGCAUUUUGGAUGCAAUGCCUCCACAGGUCGUCUAAAUUGGAGGAAGUGGUUGGGCUGUCAUCACUGACACUGAAUGAUCACUGAGCAUUCAGUGAUCACGUAGUCCACGCGGUGGAGAAAUAUCGGAGAGACAAAUGAAAGCUGCUGAGCAGCAAGAAGAGGUGCAGCGAAAGCUAUUGCAAAUGCAGCUCGAAGAACUGAAAAAGGACAAAGAAAAAAAGCAAAAAGAUGCUGCCAGCCGUCACUAGUACUUUGAUAAUGCGUGCGACAGCAAAACAAUUCCCGAUGCUCCUGGAAAUUGUUGAAUCUGGCCCUAGACAAGGAGAAAAGCCGAUGAUGUACUGUUACAGUCUGCACGAUGCACCAAGCGGACUUGGGAGGUGUUAAUGAUGUGGACACUAGUCUGUAAGAGUGUCUGAGUCUUUUUUCCUGUCUCAGCUACGGAGGGACAGGUUUUUGGCUCAGCAGCCUAGGAUAACAGAGAGAGAUCAUUUUGAGCUCUGAGUAUGGAAAUUGUAGUUGACCCAAAUUUGGGAUAAAAAUGCUGGACUUUAUUUUGGCGUUGGUGCACGGCCUCUGAGAGUUCUCUUCCUGUGUGAGACCCUGUGGGUCUCAAAGGGGGGAUUAUAUUGAGAAAUAUACCUGACAUAACCACUCAUAACCACUAUAUAUAUACCUGAAAUAUAAUCACUAUGUAUUAGCUAUUUACUAUACUAUGUUAUCACUUCUAGGUACUGAAUAUCAGUAUGUAUUAUUUUACUAGACACGUUUUGUUAUUUGUUGUUUUCACUAGAUACUUUGUACUCUCUUAGCUGCAUAUUAUGGCACUUACAGGACACCUGUUUGUUUAGCAGUACUAUUAGCUGAGAUGUAUCCCAUGUAUUACACUCAGCCUUUGUUUAGUAUGAGAUAACGGUGGCGGACAGGAUGCUGCGAGCAGAAUGUAAUGUGAGGGAGGUUGUCUGGAAAACAUAAUCUUGGCCACGAAUAAGGUCCCAAUGCGAAUGGGUGAAAAAUAAUGGUGACGCACCGAGGGCUGGGCAAGAGCGAUUGAUUAGUUAAUAUAUAGAUGAUAUGCAAUUAUAAAUUGAUUGGGUAUGCUGAUGAAACCAAAAUGUAACUGAGAUAAGAAAUUACUAUAAAGAAUGCUGUACACCGGAGCUCGGCGGGCUUUUGGUGACAAGUUCAUUGAUUGCCUCAGCCUUUGUUUGCAAAUAAAGGUUUAAACUUCUCGAAGAAUUGUCUGCGUCUCCUGGUCAUUUCAAGUAACCACGACACUUGCUGCCAGGACCAACAGUAGUUCUGGAUCAUGCUAAGGUGAGCAGCCUGA